rnacentral:lncRNA from 1 species
UUUAAUCCAAAUAGACUAUUAGUUAUAUGAGCAUAACAAAUGUCAUUUUAAAAUAAAAUGCUUAAUUUUUAAAAGACUUAUUUUACGGAAAAAAUCGAAGGAACCGGUUUAAUCCAUUUUAGACAAUAUAAAUUAGGUGAAGAAAUUAUGAAUUAAGUAAAAGAAAGCUAAGAUAAAAUAAAAAUGACAACACUUAAGGGAAUUUGUCUAGGUUAAUUGAUUAAAAAGUUAAUUAAUACAAAUAAGCAAUACAAGCUACAAAAAUAAUACAAGAAUUGAAAUUGGACCGUUAGCCCAUCAGUAAAGCUGCCCAGCUUUGGGCUUUGAAUUAUGGACUUCAGUCCAAUUUUUCUGCAUUGUAUACUGAGUGUAUAUCAGCCCCCUUUUCUUCCAGCGUUUUUGUAUAUCGGGUGUAUACAUGACCUUAUAUUGGUCAUAUAUACACGUAUUUAGUACUCUACCUGUAUAAUAAGCUUCCUUUUUUCUCAUAUUAAUCAUAUAUCUGCUGUAUAUCUGUUGUAUCCACGCGUAUAAAGCCUUGUUUCUUGUCUCUCAAUCCAUUUUUUGGGACUUUGGUUGAGGCUCGGACUCAACGAAGUUCGAAUGCAAGGAUACGGGGAGUCCCAUUGGACUCAUCCGGAAGAGUUCAUGUAAAGAGAAGAAGAGAUAAGGAUUAAUACGCAUCCCAUAAAAGCACACAGAGUUAAAUAAUAUCUAACAACGCCAAACGUCAACUAAAACAAACUAUAAUAAUCAAACACGUAGAUGGAGACUAUCAAAAGAAAGAAAGCCUGUAUUUUGUACUAAAGUAUCAAUAGUAAUGUAAAGAGAAGAAGAGAUAAGGAUUAAUACGCAUCCCAUAAAAGCACACAGAGUUAAAUAAUAUCUAACAACGCCAAACGUCAACUAAAACAAACUAUAAUAAUCAAACACGUAGAUGGAGACCAUCAAAAGAAAGAAAGCCUGUAUUUUGUACUAAAGUAUCAAUAGUAAAUUUUCCAGAAUAUACCAAAGAGAUGGCAAAGUUCAGAUAGCGCAAAAAAGAGUCUAAUCUCAAGGAUUGGGCAAUUACAACUCACACAUAAAUCCAUAGAAAUAAAAUUCAGCCACUAUUCUUUGUCAUGAAAAUAUUCAAACACUUUCUAGAGUAGCUAUCAUAUCCUUUGGUAAAGAAAAUGUCCCAGUGAUUCAGUCUUGAACCUUUUGACAAUACCAAAAUAUAACACACAGAGAACAACAUUUGGUAUUCGCACACGAUGAGUGAAUUAAAACAUGAGAUUAUAUAGUAAAUUAUAGCAUUGUAUAUAAAUUUAGAGAGAUGGAUAAAUCUACAGCUCCUAAUCAUCUAUUUCCUAAAAAGAACAAGUCAAAUAGAAAGGAUGAACAGAGGUAUAGAUCAUUGACAAAUAUUAUAAAUAUCUUUCUUAACUGUAAGGUAACACACGAGGAUAAACGACAAUCACAUAGCAAGAAGAAAAAAACAUCACAUGUAAACAUAUUGUCACUUAAGCAAGAAUGAACAACCUGAGGUGCUUCAUAUAGGAAUUUAUCAGAAUCAAGAUACGUAAGAACCAACUGUAGCAGCAUCCCAAAAUUACACACGAUCAAAUCAACUAAAUUACCCAGAAUUAAUCACGAAACAUGCAUAAAACAUGAUACAACACAACAGGCAACUAGUAAAUACAAUCACAUCAUCAACAAACAAUAUCAAUAAUACCAGCGAACAACCCCACAAUUACUACGACAACGACGAAAUCACACUCAUAAAAAAGAAUUUCUAUAAGAAAUAACUAAAUAUAGAAAGGUGUUUACCUUUCUUCGGGCAACUAACCGGGACUGACGAGCUUAAAUUGAAAGAAUUUCAUCACUAUCAAAACCCACUGCUAAUUCGCCAAAGUUUAAAAGAAUUUGCCGGGAUUGAAUGUUUUAAAGAAAUUUCUUCUUGAAUUCUUUGAUUAGGUAGGAUUAGAGGAAUGCUCCUCCCGAAUCAUCAAUUUUUCUCCAAAAAUAAUUCCCCCUUUUCAACAAUGAGAGGGAGGGUUUAUAUAGAAACCCAAAAUCCCACUUCUUUGACUGUUUUGGCGAUGUGGGAUAAAAAAUUUAGAGGGCAAUUUGAAAAAAAAAUGGAAGAUUGGCAGAUGUUUUCCGGUUUAACGGCGUUGGUCGAUAUAGCCGUUGCUGGCUGUUGAAAAGGACGUUGGUUGUUGUACGCCGCUUGGACUUGUUAUUGUCAUAUUGCUGGAUGCUGAAGAUUGUCGUCGUUUGGUCAAAGAGAGGCAUUAUAAGGGAGCUGGGCUUGGAGCGGGUCGGUGGUUUUUCGGCCUGGGCGGCUGAUUUGUUGAUAUUGGGCUG